rnacentral:lncRNA from 1 species
ACCUGGCUGAUUAGAUUAAUUUAAUUCUUGGCUGGGAUGCUUGGUGUUAUAUUCACUACAUUAUGGCUUUCCUUCAUGCUAGGACAUUAUUAUGUCACGAACCAUAUUAGGUUCGUUGUGUAACCACAAGACCAAUUAUGGAAACUGACAUAAUAUUGUUCUGGCGCAUCGAGAUGCUUACAGUAUUUUUUGAGUAUAAUGCUUUGUUGUGCAACCACAAGAGCAU